rnacentral:rRNA from 1 species
GUCGGAAUCCGCUAAGGAGUGUGUAACAACUCACCUGCCGAAUGAAUUAGCCCUGAAAAUGGAUGGCGCUGAAGCGGGCAGCCGAUACCACGCCGUCUGGGCAACUUUUGUUCCCAGAUGAGUAGGAGGACGUGGCGGUUGUACAGAAGCGUGCCCGCGAGGGUGCGUGGAACGGCCGCCAGUGCAGAUCUUGGUGUUAGUAGCAAAUAUUCAAUUGAAAACCUUGAAGGGCGAAGCGGGGAAGGGUUCCACGCGUACAUUGAUUGGGUGUGGGUGAGUCGUUCCUAAGCCGCGUGGCAAUAGCUGCAUAUCGGCGAAAGGGAAGCAGGUUGACAUUCCUGCACACGGAUGUGGAUGCGGUGACGCACUUCUGGGGCAGUGAAGCUGGCUUUGGCACUGGGCAGAGAUAUCUUUUCUGUUUAACCGUUAUCGAACGUACUGUGUGGAAUCCGCUUGUCGGGAGAAACACGUGCGGUCGGGCAUAGCGCCGGGAUUUUUCCGGCGUCCAGUUCGCCGGGGACGGACCUUGAAAAACUGCUUGCUGGCACAAUUCCUUGUGAGUUGUGUAUGAAGAAUCCACGCCGUAACGUACCGAUAACCGCAUCAGGUCCCCAAGGUGAACAGCCUCUGCUCGAUAUGAUCAAUGCAGGUAAGGGAAGUCGGCAAAUCAGACCCGUAACUUUGGGAAAAGGGUUGGCUCUAGUGCUGCGUGGGAUUGGUUGUUGUGGUGUUUUUGUUGAUCCUGUCAGCGUCGCUGCGGAGUGGGCAACCCCUCGGGGAGGCUCGCACUGUGGAGGUGUAGACGGUGAACGAUGAGGCCUGCGACGACGCCCACAGCAUGCAGCAAACUAGAACUGCAACGGGCAAAGGGAAUCCGACUGUUUAAUUAAAACAAAGCAUUGCGAGGGCCGUGGCCGGUGUUGACGCAA